rnacentral:lncRNA from 1 species
AAGAAAGCAAUUAUGCUUUCUUUCCCAUCUCUUUAAUGUUUAUUGUUUUCUUGCUUUUAUUUAUGAGACUUUUUUCAGCAACGAUAGGUUUUAUAAGGUAUGGUACCUGCCGGUGUUUGUUAUGUGGGUGACAAUUCUGGCGUCCACCUCCUUAGCGUAUAAACCUAUCUUUGUAAUUUUAUCUUAAAGGUCGAAUAUGGGAAGGUUGACACCCUUUCACGUUAUUCACCUAUUUGUACUAUUUUUCUUC